rnacentral:rRNA from 1 species
AGUGAACGCUGGCGGUAGGCCUAACACAUGCAAGUCGAACGGCAGCACAGUAAGAGCUUGCUCUUACGGGUGGCGAGUGGCGGAUGGGUGAGGAAUACAUCGGAAUCUACUUUUUCGUGGGGAUAACGUUGGGAAACUUACGCUAAUACCGCAUACGACCUACGGGUGAAAGCAGGGGAUCUUCGGACCUUGCGCGAUUGAAUGAGCCGAUGUCGGAUUCGCUAGUUGGCGGGGUAAAGGCCCACCAAGGCGACGGUCCGUAGCUGGUCUGAGAGGAUGAUCAGCCACACUGGAACUGAGACACGGUCCAGACUCCUACGGGAGGCAGCAGUGGGGAAUAUUGGACAAUGGGCGGAAGCCUGAUCCAGCCAUACCGCGUGGGUGAAGAAGGCCUUCGGGUUGUAAAGCCCUUUUGUUGGGAAAGAAAAGCAGCAGGUUAAUACCCCGCUGUUCUGACGGUACCCAAAGAAUAAGCACCGGCUAACUUCGU